AUAUGCAUGCGCAGUACGAUUCUAUUGUAGCUAAGUAUGCGCAGUGGGUUCCAUGCAAUUUGUAUGGACUGUAGGAACAAUCAAGGACCCCUUGGUUAUGCAUGCGCAGUACGAUUUUAUUGUAGCUAGAUAUGCGCAGUGGGUUCCAUUAAAUUUGUAUGGACUUCCCAAGUAGCACAGAAACAUCGAUCUAUACCGUAGCCGUUCCCAUCAAUAUUUUGAAAGCGGAGGAAUAUAGAUACUGUGAGCAAGUUAUUGAAUGAAUUCCGUCAAUGAAACUUUAAAAGUAUUUUUCUUAAAACACUCUAUUUUAAAUAUAUUUUAGUUCCAAAGUUCACAAUAGUUGUUAGAAAGAUAAAAAUGAGUAAAAUUUCUUUAUACUUGCUCAUAUUAGUGAAAGUGAAAAAUAGAAUUCUGUGAAAACGAUAUGGUACGGGAUUGGAGGGUGAAGCGACCUCAAUAUUGUUAUCAGCAGCCAAGAUCGAUAUAAACGCUUGUAACGUGAUCUUCAGCUCUGACGUCACGCUUUACAAUCCAUGUUUCAGUUGGUUUGUGAUGUACGCUGUGAUGCAUUUUUAGCGUGUUGUAUCUCCUAAGUCACCUUACUGAUUUAAUUUAGGUUAGGCCUUCAUUACCGAGUAUUCCAUUAUAAAAGAUCAUAAUGUAGCUGGUUUUGAAUUGUAAUUAACGACUAAGAUGUUUAACUGUGUGUUAGAAAAUCAAGAGGAGAUUAAACAGUUAAGAAAGGAAAUUAUAGAAAUGAAGUCUCAUCAAAUGCAGUUCUCUGGAAAAGAAAGAUAAUUCAACAUCUGUUCUUUUAGAAUUACUAAGAGGUAUUGAGCUCCCGCUCUUCGGAUGGUGAUCUUAAUCAAUUAGAGGAAAAGUUGAAAGAAGAUAAGAAUUUAUAGUUUACUUCUACAGUUCUCAAACGCUUUGAGGCCAAGAGCUUGCGGAAAAAUUUGGGAAGGUCUGCUACAGCCACUGAUUGAUAAGGACGAAAACCUAAGAUAUUUGAUGUAACCAAUUCUUUGGACUUGGAGACCCAAUAAUGUGCCAAUUUGUUUUACUAAAUUUUUAAAUGUUUAUUCAAAUAAAAUAUUCAUAGCUA